rnacentral:rRNA from 1 species
CCUACGGGGGGCAGCAGUGGGGAAUAUUGGACAAUGGGGGCAACCCUGAUCCAGCCAUGCCGCGUGUGUGAAGAAGGCCCUCGGGUUGUAAAGCACUUUCAGUGAGGAAGAACGCCUGGUGGUUAAUACCCAUCAGGAAAGACAUCACUCACAGAAGAAGCACCGGCUAACUCCGUGCCAGCAGCCGCGGUAAUACGGAGGGUGCGAGCGUUAAUCGGAAUUACUGGGCGUAAAGCGCGCGUAGGUGGCUUGAUAAGCCGGUUGUGAAAGCCCCGGGCUCAACCUGGGAACGGCAUCCGGAACUGUCAAGCUAGAGUGCAGGAGAGGAAGGUAGAAUUCCCGGUGCAGCGGUGAAAUGCGUAGAGAUCGGGAGGAAUACCAGUGGCGAAGGCGGCCUUCUGGACUGACACUGACACUGAGGUGCGAAAGCGUGGGUAGCAAACAGGAUUAGAUACCCCGGUAGUC